CGGGAUCCGUCCCGUGAAGGAAUGUGGCGUCUCUGACGCUGAACCUGAUG
rnacentral:ncRNA from 1 species